ACACCAACAGCAACAACCAGUUUUAUGUUUUGAUUUUAUCUCUUCUGCUAACUGUGUCGGAAUCUGUACGUAUACCCCAUUUUCACUGAGGAAAAAGGAUGAAUGUGAACGAUUUGCCUCCCGAAAUAUUGCAGUUGAUACUGUCCUUCCUGAAUCACAAAGAACGACUCGAAACGGCUCAAGUAUGCAAGCGCUGGUAUGAGUCAUGCUUUAGUUCGAAAUUUACAAAUGAAAUGCAUAUUAGAUUGAAUAUGCCCGAUCAUUUGGCCGAGUGCGAAAAUUUGAGUCUGUUGAAAUUAGUUAAAAGUUUUACAUUUUCCUUCAAUGAAAGCCAAAUAGAGCCAGAUGUGCAUGAGAAAUUUGUGGAAACCCUUCGCAAUACGAAAGUUCAAUCCCUUAUCGUAUGUGGUGAACAAAAAGUUGUGGAUCAAUUCGUUAGUUCAUAUUUGGUCUAUAUGGAUUCGUUAAAAUAUUUAACGAUUGUUGCUCAUGGCGCUGAAAAUUCACUUCCGAUAAAAAUUCACCACUCGAAUAUCAAAUAUUUGAAUUUAGAAACUCCUAUAAAUGCCGAGGUUGAAUGUCCUCAGCUAACGGUUUUAAAUCUAACUGAUUCCGAUAAAGUUACAUUAAGCUCAGUAAUUUCUCAAAUACAUACAUUGAUUAUCAAACCCAUCACAAUACCGAAAUUUUCUAUAGCUGAGCAUAUCUCUAGCGGAUUAAAUGCGUCCAAGUUAAAGAUUUUACAAGUUACCGAACCAUUAGGAGAAAAGUUACCGUUAAUAAAUCUUUGUUUGAAAUACACACCCUGUUUAGAAGAGCUCUACAUUGAUGCUGUCAGUUUCGAUGGAUUCAUUCUAAAUCCAGAGUUUGGUCAUCUGAAAUCGCUUUUGAAAUUGGAACUGAAGCAUGUUCACAUUGAUACCCAAGCAUUCCAAACUUUGCUUAAAGAGCUUGCUAGUCUUAAGGAACUUUGCCUGUUCAUGUGUGAAUUCAGUGGACGGAUAGCCUUAUUUGACCAAUUGCAUUCAACAAGUAUUGCAAGAUUCACGUGGAUCGUUUCAAAUGAUGUUUUAAUACUGCCAAAAUUUGUCAAACUCACCUACCUUAAAAUAAGUACGCGGGCAGACUUGACUUCACAACUCAUAGCCAAUAUCGCGCAUACAUUCAAGGACUUAGAAACUUUCCAGAUUGGACUGGGUCCAGGAUUGAUAGGGAAGCUGCCCUCGGAUUCAAUCUCCUAUCUAGCAUCCCUUAAAUCUCUAAGAAGAAUCAAGUUCGAACGUCUUAUUUUGGAAAAUGUGGACUGGAAUUCGCUGUGCCUUGAAAACAUUUUAACCGUAAAUCUGAUUUAUUCCGCCAUCACUGGAAACGAUGUCCUGGGAAUGGGCCAAGCAUUCAGCAGGCUUCAAAGACUGCAUUUUGAAGGAUGCUACCUGAAACAGCCUACAGCGGUGUUUGAUAUAUAUGCCAGAGAAGACGAUGCUGACCAAAAUGGACUGCGGAAGCAGUUUCCACGUUGUUGUUUUUCCUACAAUGAUUGCCACUUAGAAGAGUAUGAUAUGUGCGGGGGAAGGAAGAAGCCUGGUUUUGUACAAUAGACGUCUCUAUUUUACCAUUUAAAUCAUUACGAAAUAAACCGAGAUAUGCGUGAAGUGAAGCCCCUGUUGAAAAGAUCCGAUGACUGUGAAGCAUGCCAUAGAAUUACACUCAACUAAGAGGGGAAGACCCAUGGAAUACUACGCAAUUUACGCAGAAGACUCAGGCGAUUACACGAAUACAAUUGUACGAUGCAACAUCGGUGUAAUCUGUUCCGAUUGGUGCCAAGAGAUGACAAUGUCCGGAUACAUCGCUCUCAGUUUCCGCUCACAUGCUCCAUCAACUGAUCCAUCCGUUCCGCUGGUGUCUUCCACAAUGUGGCAGUUAUCGACAUUGAGCCGCUUCAAGGACGGAAAAAUUCGACCCAAGCCCCGGAACAUUGAAAACGGUAGCAUGAAGCACCCGAUAAUCUUGCACGGAUUGUAAGAGAUUUAAGGUACCGCAGCUGAUGAAGCCGUUGAAAAGCACACUCGUCUAGCUGUAUUAACGAGAAAAAGUGCUCAGUAGUUGGUUUUGCGUUAACCUACAUAACAUUGAACUAUCGACUAUCGCUAACAGACGAAAUGUUUUCAGAGGUCGUGUUCUUUUGCUUCCAUAUUUCGAUAUAGUAGAACAUUUCCUAGAAUUAAGAAUACAUACCUGGGCUCUAUACUGUAACGUCAAAUGUUCCACCGAGGAAAAGUUCUGGAAAAUCCUCAGCAAUAUAUCGUUUCCGUAUUUAAAACCGUGAGCCAGCUCCAACUCCUUCAGGCUGCAAAAGUUGUGUUCCAGCAGCACAUUGUUGAUAAUGUUGAUCAAUUUAAGCCGCUGCAACCCUACCAUGCGAAUGUGCAGGCCCGGUAGAUCAUUGAUUAUUUCGCAAUGUUGUAGGACGAGAUUCUGAAAUAUAACAAUAGAACUUUUCUCUAAACCAUAUCAAUUUAAUAAAUUAAUUACAAUUUACUUUAACAGGUUGAA